GACGAACGCUGGCGGCGUGCUUAACACAUGCAAGUCGAACGGAAAGGCCCUGCUUUUGUGGGGUGCUCGAGUGGCGAACGGGUGAGUAACACGUGAGUAACCUGCCCUUGACUUUGGGAUAACUUCAGGAAACUGGGGCUAAUACCGGAUAGGAGCUCCUGCUGCAUGGUGGGGGUUGGAAAGUUUCGGCGGUUGGGGAUGGACUCGCGGCUUAUCAGCUUGUUGGUGGGGUAGUGGCUUACCAGGGCUUUGACGGGUAGCCGGCCUGAGAGGGUGACCGGCCACAUUGGGACUGAGAUACGGCCCAGACUCCUACGGGAGGCAGCAGUGGGGAAUAUUGCACAAUGGGCGGAAGCCUGAUGCAGCAACGCCGCGUGCGGGAUGACGGCCUUCGGGUUGUAAACCGCUUUCGCCUGUGACGAAGCGUGAGUGGCGGUAAUGGGUAAAGAAGCACCGGCUAACUACGUG
rnacentral:rRNA from 1 species